CUUGGUUCAGCUGAGUCUGCAGCCCCUUUGGAGAGAAAGGCAGGACUGAAAGGGACAGGAAGUCCACGGUCUGGGAAUCCCCUCCCUGUGGCGGGUUACCAGUACAACUGCAUAAGCCACGCACCUGAAUGUCCUGGUGGAUCACAGGAGGACAGUGCAAAGGUGCUACUUAAAAUCAUCGGCAUGAUAGGAUUGGCUGCAGAGAAAAUGGUUUGUGGAGUAAAGAGGACAGACGUUUUUCCGGAUACCUGCGGAGAAAGAUUUUGAAGCUGAUAGCAAAAGGAAUAUCCCAGCUUUUCCUGAGCACAUAUCUUUUGAAGAAAGAUGAUCUCCUGCCUACUAUCAGAAGCUGACACUACAGGCUUUCUUCUGCUAUUUGAUGGCUGGUUGUUCUCUACUCCCACUUUCCACCAUUAAUUACUUUGAUGAUCAUAAAAAAGAAACCUGUUGUUCUCCUUGCUGGCUGUCCUGGUGCUGGGUCUGGGUCUGCCAUGCGCUGAGGAUGAUCUGGCUCCAAAUAUCAACACUAUCACUUCCUGCUUAGACACGAUAUUUGACUAAUUUGUGUGUUUCAGCUUCUUUGGUUUAUAAUACAAAACCGAAUACCAGAAAGGACAGAAUUUUACAGAAGGAGAAAUCUGGAGAUCUGUAGAAGGUCCUUCUCAAGUUUUCAGCAGAGUAAUGAUCAACACAUGUACAUGAGGAAGCUACUUGAUAACCAAGAAAGAUUUACCAAAGUGAUUAGAAGAAAUAGUGUCUUGCACUUACAGAGAGUAGGGAAUAGUGCCUGUUGCCCUCAACAAUGCUGAAAAGCUCAUAAUUCAUAGGGCUUUCAUUAGAAUACAUAGAAUAUUCUUGCCUCAGAAGCAGGGAAUUAUGAGCCCUACAGUAAAUUCUGCUCCCCUUUUUUCUAACAAAUCUUAAAAGCAAGACCCAAAGGCUCACACUGUUUCUAAGAAUACUAGAUGUAUCUCAGAACAAGCAAAAGAAUAUUCAUAGGAAUACAAAAGUCUCCAGCACUCAACGAAGUAAAAUUCACAAUGUUUGGCAUCCGAUUAAAGAUUACCUUUAAAAAAGUUACCGUAUAUACAAAGAAGCAGGAAAAUAUGACACAUAACAAAAUAAACCCAGAACUGGCAAAGAUGUUGUAAUUAAAAGCUAAGGUGUAUGUGUCCUAUACAUUCAAAAGGUUAAGUAGGGGCAUCUGGGUGGCUUGCUUAAGUGUCCAACUCUUGAUUUUUGGCUCCGGUCAUGAUCUCAUGGUUCUUGGGUUCAAGCCCCGCGUCGGGCCCUGUUCUGACAGUGCGGAGCUUGCAUGAUAUUCUCUGCCUCCCUCUCUCUCUGCCCCUCUCCAGCUUGCUUACUCACUUGCUCUCUCAAAAAUAAACAUUUUUUAAAAAGUUUAAGUAGAGACAUGAAAGAUAAAUUAACUCUUUUUCUAGAGAUGAAAACUACAUGGUGUGAGACUUAAAAUACACACACACACACACACACACACACACACUCUUGAUAGGACUAACAGCACAUCAUACAUCAAAGAAGUAAAAAUUAGUGAAUUUGAAGACCUAACAAUAGAAACUCUCCAAAAUGAAGCACAGAAUAAAAGAAUCUACUAAAAGUAAAAAGAGCAUGAGUGAACCUACUCUAUUUGCAACUGGAGAACCCAAGAAGAGAAAAGAGGAAGACAGGAAAAAUGUAAAACCCAAAAUUGUAAAAUAUCUAGAAAAGAACAUAGCAAAUCUUUCUGUUCUUUAGUUAGGUGAAGACCUCUUUGCUAUCACACCAGAAGUAUGACGCAUAAAAGAAAAACAAUAAAGUGUACUUCAUCAAAAUUUAAAACUUCUACUCUUCAAAAGGUACUGUUAAGAGAACAAAAAGGCAAGCCACAGACAGGGAGAAAGUAUUUGCAAAGUGUAUGUAAUAAAUCUACCUAGACUAUAUGAAGAACUCUCAAAACUCAAGAGUAAGAAAACAAACAACUUAGUAAAAAACUGGGUGAAAAACUUGAAUGCACACUUCACCAGAAACAUAUGUGCAUGGCAGACAAACACGUAAUAUCCUCAACAUCAUUAAUUGUUAUGAAAAAUGAAAGCACCGUGAGAUACCACUGCCCACUGUUAGAAUGACAAAAAUUGGAAGGACUGACCAUUCUAGUUGUUGUCUGGGAUAUUGAGGAAUUGGAACUUUUACAUGUUGCUAUUUCUUUCCUUUUCUCUUUCUCCUCCUCUUCCCCCUUCCCCUCCUCUUUUUUUUAUGAGCUGUUUAUUUCAUUUCUGAUUAUAAACAAAUGAAAUAUAUAUACACAUCUGUCCAAGAAAUUGUGCAUAAUGUGGCUUUUCCAAGAUUAAGACCAGAAAGUGGAACUUUUGAAAGAGGACCCAUCAGGGAACUGAGGUCACGGGACCAAGCACCACCCUGGAAUAUGCAGAGAGCGGUGAAUCUAGAGUCCUAUCUGAGAUCUGUGUGCCUGGGACAAAAGAAGCUGGUAGGAAUUGUAAUUUUGGCAAAUCGCCAGAGGCUCAGUGUGGACAAAAUGAGAGUGAGCAAGUCUCAGGGAAGCUCUUGUGCUUUUAUGGGUUUUAUCUCAGGGAAUGCCAUCAGGCCCUUCUCAUGAGGAACCUAGAAAGGUCUCUAGGGAUGGGAGGGAGAGAGGAACCACUGUGAAAUACAUCAGAAGCAUUCUUUAGAGCAAAGGCUUGUCCUAGUGGGAAAGAAAUACUUUACCAGGUGGUGAAAAGCGGUCCUCCCACCUCAGCCUAAGAAAAGAGCUGAGGAAUGUCACCAGCCCAGAGACAGAGGCCCACAAAAAGACUGAAAUUUAACCUAAUAUUAUAAAAUGCUUCUCCUCCCCUGCACCUUACCACCACACAAACAGGACCCCGUAUAAUAAUAGUGAAUUACAGCAGUAAGAGAAAUGCAAUAUCUCUUUGAAGAGAGGGACUUAACAAAGCCCACCAUAAACAGUGGAGGUGAAAACAAGGAUGCUGGACGAAGUUGAAUCUUCAGCACCUACAGCUACAGCAAACAUCAAACACAGCCCAACUGUUAGGCAGAUUAGCAUCAAAACUCAUACUAAAGAUCCACCUGCAAAACCGUUCUUGUUAUCUGAUACAUCCGGCUUUACACAAAAAAAAAAUUAAAGCAUGAUAAAAACGCAAUAAAAAACAUAGUCUG